AAGGACAUAGAUAUAUUUUUAUUUCAAAAAUCAAAAAAUAAGAAAUAAAUUAUUUAUAAAUAAUUCUAUGUCGAUCGUUACACGACUUCGGUUCAUGUUAUUGUUUUAAUUCAUCGAAAAAAAGUAAAUAAAUAGUAAAAAGGUAUGAAAAAAUAAUAUCAAUAUAAUUAAACUUUUAGUACAAAGAAAAUGCCCGAACGGAGUAUAAAUAAAUAAUCCAAGUUGUCUUUAUCCUCGAUAGAUGGCGUUGGGAUCGAAAUAGAUCGCGCUAUGGUUUCGUUACAUUCAUUUGGUUGGGUAUCGGCCGAGCGCUUCGGUACUAUCGUAGAAAAAGUGUAUUAUCAGUCGUAUGAUUAUUUGUCUGUAGUGGUCCUGCUGUUUCGUAUAUUCUAAAUUGGUUUCGUUGUAUUUGUCAAUUAAUAAGUUUAUUUGUUGGGUUUUCCUGGUUUUUUGGUUAAACUAUUUAACGUAGGUUUAGUUUGAUAUCGAUUAUUAGUAGUUACUGUAGUUAGUUUUUUUAAUAAAAUUGUAAGUCUAAUUUAUAAAUUAAUUAGAUUAGAUUUAAGUCGUUUCUUUUAAAUUAUUUAGUUUAAGCUUGGUUAUUAUAGCAUAGAGGAUAGGGCGUAAUAUAGUUUCUUUUUUAAUUGUUAUAAAUUCGUAAUUCGUAGCUUUCUUUAGUUUUAAGUUAGUUUAAGUCCGUUUUUAAACUAUUUUUUCAAUGCCCUAAGUGAGUAUACAUCUAUUAAAUUCAAACGCAGAGCUCAUUAUGUUGAUUUUUGAAGAGUUCCCUGGAAUAUCUUCCACAUCUCAUUUUUGAAGAGAUCCCGCGAGAUCGGGAACUAUGUGGUUAAAACCAAAAAUUUGCCGGAAGUCACUAUUCCACGCGAACGAAGUCGCGGGCAAAAGCUAGUUUAUAAAUAAUUCUAUGUCGAUCGUUACACGACUUCGGUUCAUGUUAUUGUUUUAAUUCAUCGAAAAAAAGUAAAUAAAUAGUAAAAAGGUAUGAAAAAAAUAAUAUCAAUAUAAUUAAACUUUUAGUACAAAGAAAAUGCCCGAACGGAGUAUAAAUAAAUAAUCCAAGUUGUCUUUAUCCUCGAUAGAUCGAAAUAGAUCGCGCUAUGGUUUCGUUACAUUCAUUUGGUUGGGUAUCGGCCGAGCGCUUCGGUACUAUCGUAGAAAAAGUGUAUUAUCAGUCGUAUGAUUAUUUGUCUGUAGUGGUCCUGCUGUUUCGUAUAUUCUAAAUUGGUUUCGUUGUAUUUGUCAAUUAAUAAGUUUAUUUGUUGGGUUUUCCUGGUUUUUUGGUUAAACUAUUUAACGUAGGUUUAGUUUGAUAUCGAUUGUUAGUAGUUACUGUAGUUAGUUUUUUUAAUAAAAUUGUAAGUCUUAUUUAUAAAUUAAUUAGAUUAGAUUUAAGUCGUUUCUUUUAAAUUAUUUAGUUUAAGCUUGGUUAUUAUAGCAUAGAGGAUAGGUUGUAAUAUAGUUUCUUUUUUAAUUGUUAUAAAUUCGUAAUUCGUAGCUUUCUUUAGUUUUAAGUUAGUUUAAGUCCGUUUUUAAACUAUUUUUUCAAUGCCCUAAGUGAGUAUACAUCUAUUAAAUUCAAACGCAGAGGUCAUUAUGUUGAUUUUUGAAGAGUUCCCUGGAAUAUCUUCCACAUCUCAUUUUUGAAGAGAUCCCGCGAGAUCGGGAACUAUGUGGUUAAAACCAAAAAUUUGCCGGAAGUCACUAUUCCACGCGAACGAAGUCGCGGGCAAAAGCUAGUUCAAAAUA